rnacentral:sRNA from 1 species
CAUAUGUUUGGGUGAUUGCUGUAUUUGUUUUCCUCCCUGUGGUGGAGUUAUUUAUUACAGAAGCCAUGAUUUAUUGAGCAUUUACUACAUUUAAUCUCUGUAGCUGUCUGGGGCAGGUGGUGGUAUCUAAGUUUUGUUUAAGAGGCUUAAGUUAGGUGACUCGCUCAGAGUUAGGAGGGCGACUCUUUCCUGUAGUGGAGGGAAGAGAGGCCAGCCAGCUGCAGAAGUGGGUACCCCCAAAGUGCCACUCACGGUGUCUCAUUUUUGCCUCCUACCUUGUUCUCCAUUCCCUGGGUAGUUGUGUCUGAGUACAGGGCAUCUCUGCAGCAGAGGAUGAACCCAAAGCAGGAAGACCAUGCCUUUGAGAGUCCUCCACCACCAGAUGUUGGGGGGAAGGAUGGUCUGAUGGACAGCACACCUGCCCUCACACCCACGGAGAGUCUCUCUUCCCAGGACGUCACACCGGGCAGCGUGGAGGAGGCUG